GGGCCCGUAGUCUAGCCUGGAUAGCGUUUGCCCAGAAAGGACACUAGCCUGCGGAGCUAGUGGCUCGGGUUCAAAUCCCGACGGGCCCGCCA
rnacentral:tRNA from 1 species